CGGAAGCUUUGCUUGUUGUCGUGUUAUUUUGAAAUCAAUUGUUGUUUUUGAAAAUGUGCCCUAAAGCUAUCCAAUUUCAACAGUUAAAAUAAGUAAUACCUAUCUUAGUAAUACAUAUUAAAACCAUCAAAAAUAAUUAAGCGGCCUUAUUACAUUUAAAAACCCAAAACUUCAAACGUAAAUAAAAGGAUGUCCAGUUCACCAGCAGAAAACCAAACUUUCAGAAUGGGUGGCCACUCCGAAUUCCCUCAUAGCUCCAAGCCCACUAUGGUUGGGGAUUUCCUGCGUGGAUGAAAAUAAAAGGGGUGAGUUUGGGGAAACUCAGUGUGUAAGGAAAACCCAUUCAAAGCCCAAAUCAGCUCCAGCCCAUUGGGCCUAAGCCCAUUCAGGUAAUAGUGGAACUGGGCCAGAACCCUUUUUAGAUUACAAUAAACUGGGCCUUAGCCCCUUAUUCAGAUAAUAAUAUGGCCCAUAGGCCCAUUUCAAAAUACAUGCAACAUCAAUAACAUAUGCAAGCCCAUUUGGGGAGACUACUCAACCCACCAAUCACUACACUCCACCCGUACCAGCCAUACACUCCAUGUGGGGAUAGCUCAACCCACCCAGCCCAACACUCUACAAUUGCAGCAUUGCUGCUCAGUUAACAGUAAAUUGAGGCAAAGCCUCCAGUACGUGGACAAGCUACUUUCAGUACUUCCUCCGUCAAUAUCCCAAUCCCAUGCAUCAGAUAAUAACAACAUGGCAUGCAGUAAAUAACAACAGUCGAACAUGCAUUUAGGUCAAUUUAACCCUAGGGGUAUUUCGGUAAUUUAUCUCCUAGGGGUAAAACUGUAAAUUUUCCACUUUUAAAGGUAUUUCAGUAAUUUAUCUAUUUUAGGGUUUUUCAUGCAUAUUCCUACCUUUCACGUACUACAGAAUCACGUACUGAAGGUUCUUACCGAAUUGGGCCCGUUGGCCCAUCAUUCCAAUUUUGGCCCAUAUAGCCCAAAAAUAUCGAGGGCACAGAAAUCAUGCACUUUGCAGUCCAAACAUUGCAGCUUACCAAAAACAUUAACGAUUUACCUCACGAGCAUUCGCACACUCGCAAAUCUACAAAAUACCGGUUUUCGGCAUUUCGGCUUUUCGACUUUUGUCGAUCCAGACUAAGAAAGAGGGUGUUAGUUACACACCUGUUUGCGACGAUAUGCUGACGAGAUCCACACACGAACUGCCUACAAUUGGAUUACUAACACGUUAAUCUAACUAUUCAAAUACGAACUACGUAUUAACCCCUUACAAUAUUCGGCCAACCACACCUACAGAUCAUAGUAAGCUUAUAAGAAAUCAAUAAGCAACUCAUUAACAAAUUUUUGUCAAUGUUUACCACAUAAUCAUAAUUUCACUGCAAGCUGUCUUCCUGAGCAACAGUCACCAAAUCAUUUAUAACUGGAGCUACGAAACUCCAAAUCAAGUGCCGUUAAUUUUCCUUGAAAAUAGACUCAUAUAUCUUCCAUCCAUAAAAUUUUCAGAAUUUUUGGUUUGUCCAAUCAAUACCAUAUUUUUCUUAAAGUUUCCCAUGUUUCACUGCUUGACUAAUCUGACCACUCUUCAUUACGAAUCAAAUUUCUCAUUGUACAGAAUUCAAAAUAUGUUCUUGUUUAUUUCAUUUGAAACUAGACUCAACAAGAUUUAAUUACAAAAUUUAUUCAACUUCUAAUUAGUCUCCCAUAAUUUAUGGUGAUUUUCCAAAGUCACGUUACUGGUGCUGUCCCAAGCAGAUUUAUUACCAAAUUCACUCUUUCACACAUAACUUGCAUGCAUGUUAUUUAAACAUGUAUAUCACCAAUCAAUCAUCACAUAUCUAUGAUUUUACUUAAGUAUAAUCUCCAUUUCAUCAUUUUAAAGCACAACAUGUUAGCCGAUUUUUCCCCUUAGCAUCUAAGGCACAUGCAUGCUCAUUUGUUUGGCUCAACUUCACCUAUCUUCCAUUUUUCAUCAAAAGAACACGAAACAACAACCAUUUCCUUCAUUUUAAUUCAUGACUAAAUGCUCACAACACAACUAAAAAGAAAAAUAUGCUUCAAGAGUUAAGGUAGAAUCAAGAAGAACUCAUGGACAUCAAGAUAGAAGCAAACUACCAUGAACUUACCUUCAAUUUUCUUCCCCAAGUGACCGAACAUUCAAAAGCUUUCUCCUCUCCUUUCUCUUCUCUAACUUUAGGCUAU
rnacentral:lncRNA from 1 species